rnacentral:lncRNA from 1 species
GAACACUGAGAGCCAGAGAAUCCUUAACAGCCAACUCAUCAGACCGUUUGGAAAGUAGUCUGUUAUAUUUGGGAGUAAAAAGGUUCCUGGCCACCUCCCCAACGGUAAGAGGACCAGUAGGGGAUAAGAAGGAUGGGCGCCAUAUGUUGUCUUAAGAAGGCAUGGUUGCCUCUUCACCAAAGUUCAAGUCAAAACGACUGUCGGAUGGGCCAGACAUUCUCAGAAAUGAUGAAGGAGAAAUGAGGUGGAAUAAAUCUCUGAAGUCAGGGGAAAAUUCCUACAAGCAAUAACUCUUUGAAUGUACUCCUUGCACACAAUUGAUGCCCUUAUAAAAGAAAGGGCAACAGGGUCGUUGGUUAAAAAAUUGAAGAGGCACCACUCUCCGAAUUCCGAAGAGGCACCACUUUCCACACACAACAUCAGCUCCUCGGGUACCACAGAUAACUUUGCCAAAGAUCUCUGACAAAGUUUAGACACAUAAAUUUUGAUGGUCCAGCUACCCUACUAUUACCCACAAGGGUAAAGGAACAGUACCACUGCUUGAUAACUAGAAAGUCCCAAUGUGUGUCAACCUUCAUGCUCCAUGGCAAGGCAGACUGGUAAAAAUGCCCAGCCUUUACUCA